rnacentral:rRNA from 2 species
ACGGGUGAGUAACACGUGAGUAACCUGCCCCUGACUCUGGGAUAAGCGUUGGAAACGACGUCUAAUACUGGAUAUGAUCACUGGCCGCAUGGUCUGGUGGUGGAAAGAUUUUUUGGUUGGGGAUGGACUCGCGGCCUAUCAGCUUGUUGGUGAGGUAAUGGCUCACCAAGGCGACGACGGGUAGCCGGCCUGAGAGGGUGACCGGCCACACUGGGACUGAGACACGGCCCAGACUCCUACGGGAGGCAGCAGUGGGGAAUAUUGCACAAUGGGCGAAAGCCUGAUGCAGCAACGCCGCGUGAGGGAUGACGGCCUUCGGGUUGUAAACCUCUUUUAGUAGGGAAGAAGCGAAAGUGACGGUACCUGCAGAAAAAGCACCGGCUAACUACGUGCCAGCAGCCGCGGUAAUACGUAGGGUGCAAGCGUUGUCCGGAAUUAUUGGGCGUAAAGAGCUCGUAGGCGGUUUGUCGCGUCUGCUGUGAAAUCCCGAGGCUCAACCUCGGGCUUGCAGUGGGUACGGGCAGACUAGAGUGCGGUAGGGGAGAUUGGAAUUCCUGGUGUAGCGGUGGAAUGCGCAGA